GACGAACCGUGCGAACGUUGUUCGGAAUCACUGGGCUUAAAGGGCGCGUAGGCGGACUGCCAAGUCCGGGGUGAAAUCCUCCGGCUUAACCGGAGAAUUGCCUGGGAUACUGGCGGUCUUGAGGGAGGUAGGGGCACGCGGAACUUCCGGUGGAGCGGUGAAAUGCGUUGAUAUCGGAAGGAACGCCGGUGGCGAAAGCGGCGUGCUGGCCCUCUUCUGACGCUGAGGCGCGGAAAGCCAGGGGAGCGGAACGGG
rnacentral:rRNA from 1 species